rnacentral:rRNA from 1 species
UACAGAGGUCCCAAGCGUUGUUCGGAUUCACUGGGCGUAAAGGGUGCGUAGGCGGUCGGGUAAGUCUGAUGUGAAAUCUCACAGCUUAACUGUGAAACUGCAUUGGAUACUAUCCGGCUUGAGAGUUGGAGGGGGGACUGGAAUUCUUGGUGUAGCAGUGAAAUGCGUAGAUAUCAAGAGGAACACCAGUGGCGAAGGCGAGUCCCCUGGACAACUUCUGACGCUGAGGCACGAAAGCUAGGGGGAGCAAACAGG